rnacentral:rRNA from 1 species
UUAAUAACUCUCGGCAACGGAUAUCUCGGCUCUCGCAUCGAUGAAGAACGUAGCGAAAUGCGAUACUUGGUGUGAAUUGCAGAAUCCCGUGAACCAUCGAGUCUUUGAACGCAAGUUGCGCCCGAAGCCUUCUGGCCGAGGGCACGUCUGCCUGGGCGUCACGCA